AGAGCUUCACGUACAGAUCUACCUGACGAAAGGCGGACGUUUCAGAGGACAACCUUAUCACUGCUUCGUGUAGUUGUUCACGGACUCGUUCCUGAACACAAGAGAUGGAAAGAAGCGGAGUGACACUUCAGCGCCGUGAACACCUGUCUGGAAAACUUGAAGAAACUAGCGUUAGGAAAAGAAAAUCCAACUGAAGUGAAAAUGGGUCGCAAGAUCGGAGAAAUUUCUGUGGAGGUGAUCGACCUGGUGAAGGAGAGAGAAGGAAAGAAAGAAGAGGAAAGGGAAGGCGUGAAAACCUCCUGUUGCCUUGAACAAGUCACUUCAACCUUUAAUGAUACCACUGACACUCGCAAGCCCUCUGGUGGCAAGAGAUAAUUUCCAUCAACACGCGUAAAGGACAAAACCUCGACAGCAGCUUCGUUCAGACUGUGUGACGCGCCUGUCUUGGCCCCCUUCCACUCUGCCACGACGACGCAGCGGUGGAAUCCAACUCCGACGACGUGGCUUCGGAGAGCGAGUUGGAGGACGGCUUCUCUGCUGUGCCGGCCAACACAGCCACCGUCAGAGGUCUGCCAUGGCCAUCCCUUGCUUAGUUGAUAGGCCUAUGGUGGCCAUUAAUUUGAUGACAAAGGCAUGCCGAUCAAGAGUAUGGCCAGCGAUAGAGGAGUCGAAACAUGAACUUAAAUCUAUUGAAGCAUGUAACCCAAAAUAAAGCAUAGCUGUUUCAAUAAAUAUAAAUACUCGA